rnacentral:rRNA from 1 species
AGAUUGAACGCUGGCGGCAGGCCUAACACAUGCAAGUCGAGCGGCAGCACGGGUACUUGUACCUGGUGGCGAGCGGCGGACGGGUGAGUAAUGCCUAGGAAUCUGCCUGGUAGUGGGGGAUAACGCUCGGAAACGGACGCUAAUACCGCAUACGUCCUACGGGAGAAAGCAGGGGACCUUCGGGCCUUGCGCUAUCAGAUGAGCCUAGGUCGGAUUAGCUAGUUGGUGAGGUAAGU